AGUGAACGCUGGCGGUAGGCCUAACACAUGCAAGUCGAACGGCAGCACAGUAAGAGCUUGCUCUUACGGGUGGCGAGUGGCGGACGGGUGAGGAAUACAUCGGAAUCUACUUUUUCGUGGGGGAUAACGUAGGGAAACUUACGCUAAUACCGCAUACGACCUACGGGUGAAAGCAGGGGACCUUCGGACCUUGCGCGAUUGAAUGAGCCGAUGUCGGAUUAGCUAGUUGGCGGGGUAAAGGCCCACCAAGGCGGCGAUCCGUAGCUGGUCUGAGAGGAUGAUCAGCCACACUGGAACUGAGACACGGUCCAGACUCCUACGGGAGGCAGCAGUGGGGAAUAUUGGACAAUGGGCGCAAGCCUGAUCCAGCCAUACCGCGUGGGUGAAGAAGGCCUUCGGGUUGUAAAGCCCUUUUGUUGGGAAAGAAAAGCAGCAGGUUAAUACCCCGCUGUUCUGACGGUACCCAAAGAAUAAGCACCGGCUAACUUCGUG
rnacentral:rRNA from 1 species